GGCAAGAGGAAGAAUGCAUCAGCGUUGGGCAGAAAAGGGAACUCGAAAACCUCACAGCAUUGUUCCAGGGUCCAAUUUCCCUUUCCAGCAGAUGGAUGUAAGAAGCGAGUUAGUCAAUGAACUACAAAAUGGUUCGUGAUGCUGUAAGCAACUCAAUAAUUUAGUCAGCCAUUCUGGACCUGAGAAGCGACCAAUUACGCACACGAUUAGAGCAGGUCUCACAUCGAUACAUCCCCAGAAUACGACAGCGGGACCGAAAAGCACGAGAUAAUUAACUGUCAAUCCGUUUAUCAAGGAUAUGCUGAAUGCGCUGAAGCACACAAGGAUUGUGAUCGGUAUUUCAAUUGGUCGUUCUGCGAUUGAUGGACUGUUUGGUGGACCCUUUUGGUCCCCCGAAGGGCCGAGCUUAACAACGAGAAUUGGUACGUGCGUAUCUUCGACGGGUUAUUUUGACGAAACGCUUUUGCGGAAACUGGUCUACCGCCAAAAAGGUCUCCAGGCUCUUCCGCUGAUUGAGGGUCUGACGGGGCUCAAACCAAGUAAUACGAGCAUACCUAGUGCUGGAAUAGUUGGCGCUUUUAGGUGGAGAACAAGAGAGUCUCGG
rnacentral:sRNA from 2 species